rnacentral:rRNA from 1 species
CCUACGGGGGGCAGCAGUGGGGAAUAUUGGACAAUGGGCGAAAGCCUGAUCCAGCCAUGCCGCGUGUGUGAAGAAGGCCUUCGGGUUGUAAAGCACUUUCAGUGGGGAAGAAAGCCUUGGGGCUAAUACCCUCGAGGAAGGACAUCACCCACAGAAGAAGCACCGGCUAACUCCGUGCCAGCAGCCGCGGUAAUACGGAGGGUGCGAGCGUUAAUCGGAAUUACUGGGCGUAAAGCGCGCGUAGGCGGUCUGAUAAGCCGGUUGUGAAAGCCCCGGGCUCAACCUGGGAACGGCAUCCGGAACUGUCAGGCUAGAGUGCAGGAGAGGAAGGUAGAAUCCCCGGUGUAGCGGUGAAAUGCGUAGAGAUCGGGAGGAAUACCAGUGGCGAAGGCGGCCUUCUGGACUGACACUGACGCUGAGGUGCGAAAGCGUGGGUAGCAAACAGGAUUAGAUCCCUGGUAGUC